CACACUGUAAACGAUGUGCACUAGGUGCUGGUACGGAUGUAUCAGUGCCGUAGCUAACGUGAUAAGUGCACCGCCUGGGGAGUAUGCUCGCAAGGGUGAAACUCAAAGGAAUUGACGGGGGCCCGCACAAGCGGUGGAGCAUGUGGUUUAAUUCGAUGGUACGCGAGGAACCUUACCUGGGUUUGACAUACAGCGUAAUAGGGCAGAGAUGCUCUAGCGUAGCAAUACGGCGCUGUACAGGUGC
rnacentral:rRNA from 1 species